rnacentral:rRNA from 1 species
GGGGAAUAUUGCGCAAUGGGGGCAACCCUGACGCAGCAACGCCGCGUGAGUGAUGAAGGCCUUCGGGUCGUAAAGCUCUGUCGGCAGGGACGACGGGUGGAUUGUUUAAUAAACAGUUCAUUUGACGGUACCUGCAAAGGAAGCACCGGCUAACUCUGUGCCAGCAGCCGCGGUAAGACAGAGGGUGCAAGCGUUGUUCGGAAUUAUUGGGCGUAAAGGGCGCGUAGGCGGCUAUAUAAGUCUAAUGUGAAAUACCUUGGCUUAACCAAGGAAGUGCAUUGGAUACUGCAUAGCUUGGGUCUCGAAGAGGGCGAUGGAAUUCCCAGUGUAGAGGUGAAAUUCGUAGAUAUUGGGAGGAACAUCAGUGGCGAAGGCGAUCGCCUGGUCGAAGACUGACGCUGAGGCGCGAAAGCGUGGGGAGCAAA